rnacentral:rRNA from 1 species
CUUGCACAGCUCAGUAGCACGUGGCAACCUACCCUUGGGACGGAAGAACCCCCGGGAAACUGGGGCUAAUUUCCGAUAGGUGAAGAUGCCUGGAAUGGUUUUUCGCUUAAAGGGCGCUUAGGGCAUGCUUCUAGGCGUUGCCCAAGGAUGGGGCCGCGGCCGAUCAGGUUGUUGGUAAGGUAACGGCUUACCAAGCCUUUAACCGGUGCGGGCCGUGGGAGCGGAAGCCCGGAGAUGGGCACUGAGACAAGGGCCCAGGCCCUACGGGGCGCAGCAGUCGCGAAAACUUCGCAAUAAGCGAAAGCUUGACGGUGCUAUUCCGAGUGCCAUCCGCUGAGGAUGGCUUUUCCCUAAUAUAGAUAGCUGGGGGAAUAAGGAGAGGGCCAGUCUGGUGUCAGACGGCGUGGUAAUUACAGCUCUCCGAGUGGUGGGGACGUUUAUUGGGCCUAAAGCAUCCGUAGCCGGCUGGGUAAGUCCCCUGUUAAACCCAGCGACUUAAUCGUUGGUCUGCGGGGGAUACUACUCGGCUAGGGGGCGAGAGAGGCCGUCGGUAUUCCCGGGGUAGGGGUGAAAUCCUAUAAUCCCGGGAGGACCACCAGUGGCGAAGGCUGUCGGCUAGAACGCGCCCGACGGUGAGGGAUGAAAGCUGGGGGAGCGAACCGGAUUAGAUACCCGGGUAGUCCCAGCUGUAAACGAUGCAGGCUAGGUGUUAGGGCGGCCACGUGCCGCUCUAGUGCCGCAGGGAAGCUGUUAAGCCUGCCGCCUGGGGAAACGGCUGCAAGGCUGACUUAAACCA